rnacentral:rRNA from 2 species
AAAUUGAAGAGUUUGAUCAUGGCUCAGAUUGAACGCUGGCGGCAGGCCUAACACAUGCAAGUCGAGCGGUAGCACAGAGAGCUUGCUCUCGGGUGACGAGCGGCGGACGGGUGAGUAAUGUCUGGGAAACUGCCUGAUGGAGGGGGAUAACUACUGGAAACGGUAGCUAAUACCGCAUAAUGUCGCAAGACCAAAGUGG